rnacentral:rRNA from 1 species
AUGAAGAAUUAUAUUCGUGAGCACAUAUACAUUGUUCAGGCACCGUGGGGCGAUAUGCUGCAAGUUUGGAGGGAACAGCCCACUGUAGAUGGUGAUGCUGGUUCAGAGAACAUAAAGGAAACCAGCAAAAUAUUUGUAUAUAAGAUUGACAUGGCAGCAAAAAAGCUUGUGGAAAUAAAUGGCUUGCAUGGCCAUGUGUUGUUUCUUGGGCAUAGCCAGACACAGUGUCUCAGUGUGGGAGAAUAUUCGCAAUUGAAAGCAAACUGUGUCUACUUCACCGAUGAUGUAAGAUUUAUUUCGUUGUAUCAGAAUAGUAAACGUGAUGUAGGUGUUCUAAAUUUGGAAAACGACACCAGGGAAGAAAUUGUACCUCAGAUUUAUUGCAGCUGGCCAAAUCCCACAUGGAUUACACCCAGUCUUAGAAUGAUGCACUCGGGAUUGAUGUAA